rnacentral:tRNA from 1 species
UAAUAAAAAGUAAAACUUACAUUCAGUUUCGACCUGAACCUUGAUUUCUUAAUCUUUAUUAG